rnacentral:SRP_RNA from 1 species
GCCAGGCAUGACGACAUGUGCCUGUAAUCCCAGCUACUUGGGAGGCUGAGGCAGAAGAAUUGCUUGAACCCAGGAGGCAGAGAUUGCAGUGAGCCAAGAUCGCGCCACUGCACUCCAGCCUGGGUGACAGAGCAAGACUCUGUCUCAA